rnacentral:rRNA from 1 species
AACAGGGAUUGCCUUAGUAGCGGCGAGUGAAGCGGCAAAGCUCAAAUUUGAAAUCUGGUACUUUCAGUAUCCGAGUUGUAAUUUGUAGAAGCAACUUUGGUGAUGGUCUUUGCAUAAGUUCCUUGGAAUAGGACGUCAUAGAGGGUGAGAAUCCCGUUUAUGGUGAAGAACCCACACUAUGUAAAGUGCUUUCGAAGAGUCGAGUUGUUUGGGAAUGCAGCUCAAAGUGGGUGGUAAAUUCCAUCUAAAGCUAAAUAUUGGCGAGAGACCGAUAGCGAACAAGUACUGUGAAGGAAAGAUGAAAAGAACUUUGAAAAGAGAGUGAAAAAGUACGUGAAAUUGUUGAAAGGGAAGGGAUCUAAAUCAGACAUGGUAUUUUGUGAUCAACAGUCUUUCGGGACUGUGCACUCGCAUUUUACUAGGCCAGCAUCGGUUAGAAGGGGGUAAAAAAGAUUUUGGAAUGUGGCUCCUCGGAGUGUUAUAGCCAAAGGUUAAUUGCCCCAUUUCUGACGAGGACCGCGU